GGUGAUUCAAAAUACCAAGCCUGAAAAGAGUCACAUCUUCUUCCGUAGCGUUUCACCAGUACACUACAGGUAAGUACUUUGUAGGAACUAAUCAGUUGCAACACAAAUACACUAUACUAAGACUGAAUUUGGUGAAAUUGAUUUGCAGGGAUGGAGCUUGGAAUGAAGGUGGCCAUUGCCACACAAAUACAGCACCGGAAACAGACUAUA
rnacentral:misc_RNA from 1 species